rnacentral:lncRNA from 1 species
UGACAGAAACUUUUUAAAGUUUCCACCAUACUGAACAAAUGUGCUCAGAUUGAAGUUGAUGUGACUUUUUUAUGCUUUGUAUUAAUCUGAUGAUUUAAGCCCUUUUCAACUGAUUUUUAUGGAUUGUUCAUAUGUCAUACUGUCACACCAAUGUCCUAGGUUAGGCAGGGGAUGGGCACUACCAAAUAUGUUAAAUCCCUUUAUAUUAUGUAUGUGUGUGUCUCAAGCCAGAAGCAUGUCAUUUAGCAGUUGUUGUUUGUUUCUGUAUAUUAUAUUUGUUUUCCAUUCAUUGUUUUGUACAAAAAACAGGGCAUUACUUUUCUUGUUUGAAUUGUUUUACCUUUUAUAGCUUUUUACAGCAGACUAAGGAGUAUGGGUUUUGCUUGUUGUUGAAGGCCUUAGGGUGAUCUUUAGUUGUUAACUUUUAUGUCAUUUCAUCUCUGGUGGAGUUGUCUCAUUGGCAAUCAUUCCACAUCUUCUUCUAUUUUAUAUUGAGAGAUAUUACAAUGCAAUUUUCCAUAAAUAUCUUGCAAGAAUUGAGAGGGCUAAUGACACCAGUGCGGAAGCACAACACUAUUCAUUUGGUACUAAGGAUUCG